GGGGGCGAACUGGAUUCGACCGGACAGGUUGAGGCGCUGUGCGGCGUGCCGUGGUUGGUCAGCAGGCCACGUUAAAAGCCGACCACAUCUUCAAUUGCUGAAGAUACUUUCGCUUUGGCUGCCUAAUUAAACGGUAGCCCUGAUCGAGGGCUUUUGGUCGGAGAGGCCCGAAGGUCAGUCGUUAAUUCCGGCUCGCCCCGUUCCAUUGCAGGGUACGGACGGGGUUAAAAAAGUUCCCCGCUGGCUCAACAGGGACCCGGUCGACAGGGGCUCUUCGAGCGAGAACCAAAGAGUCGACUACGCACGUAGAAGCUGGCGCUGAAAUGUUUCGGGACGCGGGUUCGAUUCCCGCCGCCUCCA
rnacentral:tmRNA from 1 species